rnacentral:rRNA from 1 species
AUUGAACGCUGGCGGCAGGCCUAACACAUGCAAGUCGAGCGGAUGAACGGAGCUUGCUCCUGGAUUCAGCUGCGGACGGGUGAGUAAUUCCUAGGAAUCUGCCUGGCAGUUGGUGAUAACGUCCAGAAGCGGGCGCUAAUACCGCAUACGUCCUUAGGGAGAAAGGGUGGGAUCUUCGGACCUCACGCUAUCAGAUGAGCCUAUGUCGGAUUAGCUAGUUGGUGGGGUAAAGGCCUACCAAGGCGACGAUCCGUAACUGGUCUGAGAGGAUGAUCAGUCACACUGGAACUGAGACACGGUCCAGACUCCUACGGGAGGCAGCAGUGGGGAAUAUUGGACAAAGGGCGAAAGCCUGAUCCAGCCAUGCCGCGUGUGUGAAGAAGGUCUUCGGAUUGUAAAGCACUUUUAGUUGGGAAGAAGAGCAGUAAGUUAAUACCUUGCUGUUUUGACGUUACCAAAAGAAUAAGCACCGGCUAACUUCGUG